UCCAGAACUGGGAGCCAGGAUGUCACCUAGCAACCAGGGCUCUGCUUAUAGAAACAGGAGCCUCAGCCUGGCCAAGAGAGGAAAAUCACCAGUUGGAAUGAAAAGUUUUAGCUUUGAACUAGAGACCAGCCAGAGGCACAACACCUACUGAGAUGUCAUGGCCAGAUGUCCUAGAAACCCAAGUUUGAAGAGUUGGGGCAAGGCAUGGUUUCAGGGACAACCUCUGGAAGCUUUGCUCCCCAGCCUGAGGGGUGACAAGAAGGACCCAGGAACAACAGAGGAAGUGGGAGCAAGGACACCGUGAAGUCUCUGUGUAAAUGUUGUUAUGAGCACAAAAUGAAAACUGGUCAAUUAAAACUAAAUAAUGAGACAAACCAAGUAAAUUUAUCAAAGUUGCCAUUCAGCCAAUUGGGAAAUAUACACAUAAGUUCAUUGUAGGUACUUUGGAAGAUUAAAUGAGCUAAUGAUUCUCUGGCCUGUAGCCCAGCACUCUUACAAACGGUGACUAUCAUUUCGUGGAUCCAGAUCAUGCCACCCACCAGCCUGUCACCCAGAUUACCGCCGGAGUCAACUUUGACCCCCACUUCCUGCCCACUCUCAAGUCUAGUCAAAACCAAGAUUCCACCUGCAUGGUGACUAACAGAGCCACAAGUGUGGAAAGAAAGACAUUAAGGAUGUCUUGAGAGUAAGCCAGGAAUCAGCUCAUGAUGGAGUGAGCAGAAGGGUAGAAAUCCCAGGACAAGCCCCAGGCCCACAGGAGAACCAACGCUUUGCGGAAGAAUGGGUCCCUCGAUGAAGGCUGAUGAACCACAGAAAUCUGAAUAGGUAGGAGCAGAGGUGGCCCAAUGGCAGGGCCUCCCACCCUCUGCCCAGGAGUGGCUGGUAUCACAAGAAGUUCACACUCAGGUUUCACAUUCACUAAGCCACCAUCAGAUCACUUGGCUUCCGGAAGAGUGAUGCCCCCAGGGACAGAAUGUGCUUGCCCUACUGAUGUGAAUGUCCCGUCUGCUUGAAAUUAAUAAAUUUUCUUUCUGGUCUGUUCU